AAAACUCUUUAUUAAUACUAUACAAAAUGUAAGCGGCACUGGUCAACAUGUUUUUCAAUAGAAGCACAAACAAAAGUGUAUCUUAGUUACAUGGCAGUCUGACAGACCUUAGUGCUAUUUAUGUAAUGCACCUGAGUAAGCUUGAAAAUACCAUUAUAAUUCCAGAAAACCGACAAUAGUCCAUAACGCUUAUUCUAUAAUAAAUCGCAUGCCUCGGUGAAUGCAAACCUCAUAACAUAGUGGAAAACCAGUUCAUCACAUAUUCUGCAACACACAACCUUAAAGAGAGGACAAUUAGCAUUCAUAUUUGCAGAUAUCCACAUCACAAUUUGCAAUACAGAGAAUUGCAUUGCAAUGAACUCCAUAAAAAACUAAAUAAUACAAAAUAUAGGCACAUGUUUUUUUUACUCUUUCCCCUUUUUGUUUUUAAUAAGUAAAAGAUAAAUAUGGUUGCAUACAGAAGAGAACGACCACGUUUGCAUAAUUAAAUUGUAGAUAGCAAACAACCAAACCAAGUAAUAUUAUGGUUGGCUGAUCUCAGCUAGCAAGUAAACACAAUAGCAUCACUUAAGAACAUAGCUAUCAAUUUCCAUUCCUUCUGGAAUUUUCUUUGUUUUGAAUGAUAUAAAGAGUUGAUAAAUAAUAGUGCCAGGAAUAACAUAAACAAAGCCAAGAUUUAUUUUAAAAAAGAUAGCAAUAGUACACAAACUACAGAUUAAAGCUAGGGUUUCGUAUUGUAGCUUCUCAAUACAACAACAUUAGGUGGCGAGACAUUUGACUACGAUGGAUCAUUUCUACAAAACAUACUCUGCCUCAGCCGUUAGAAUGUUAUGAACAUGGCCAAUAAGAAUAAAUUGUAACUGAAACGUGAAUUGUACUUGAGCAAUUCUAGCUAUUUGGGGAUCUAAAUUGACAUGAUAAUUCAGUAACUGUUUCUCUCUCAUCCAUCGUUGCCAGGCCCUACCAUCGGCACCAAGCCCUGCAAAAUCAAUUCAACAACAGAUCACCACCGGGCACUGGCAAGACUCAGUGCAGUCAUUACGAAUGGCAUGCCGAAGCUGACCAAAACAAACAACUGAAGCACGGAAAAUAAAUGAUCCAAUAAAAGGUAGGGGAACCUGCAGUCAGUUGGAUCCGUCGCCAUGGCCUCAUUUCAGCAUAGCAAGGAAAACCACCAUACGCCAUCUAACCUCGUCGGCACCAUCGAUGUGCCAGGUGGCCAGUAAGGUCGACGUCAGUGAAUUGCGAGUCCCGGAAUGACGAGGAAGAAGAGAUCGAGGGUCGGUGCCCGAGGCCUGGUCCGCAAUGGCGGGCGGGACGGACCUUUGUGUUUCCUGCAGAGCAUCGGCUUGCCGGAGCCGAGAAACUGACCGAUCCCUGGUCCUCAAAGUCGCGGCGACCAGAUGCCCUCAUCUUCCCUUUCGCACCGACGGAUCAGCAAGACCGAUCGCUCGUCCUCCUCUCUCGAGGGGAUCCCUCUGCUAGCGAUCGUGGACCGAAAAGGAUCGGGAGGGGCGGAUGCGCAUGAGGCGAUGCGUCGAUUCUCAUGUCUCUUCGAUUCUUCCAGAUCGGGAGGGAGAGGAGAGGAAGGAGGGAGCGAGCGAUGUGGCGAUUCUCAUGUCUCUUCCAG
rnacentral:lncRNA from 1 species